GAUCGCGUAGCUCAGCCGGUAGAGCAAGUGACUUUUAAUCACUAGGUCCUGGGUUCGACUCCCAGCGCGAUCA
rnacentral:tRNA from 1 species